AUAAUAUUUGUUCAGUGAUGUGCAGAUGAAGAAUGAUCUUAAGCUGUCAACUAAUAUGAAGUAUUAGUGUCAAGUUUCAAGAAUGAUAUAAAGGAACAAGUUCGUAUGGCAUCGUCUCACAAUUUAGUAUUUGGAUCCAGAAUGCAUGAACUCAUGCAUUUAUUGAACAUGAAUGAAGUUUUGUUUCAAGCUAGCAAAAUUACAAGCUCUAUUAUACUAGACUGAAAAUGUAUUUAUGUAUCAUAGGUGGAUUCUAAAUUGAUUCCCUUGUCUAAAUUGAACAGGGACCUGAUGAGAAGCCAGCAGUAGCACCACUAGCUACAGCACUUGCAGCCGAGGUACCGAAGAAGGCAAAGAAGUGAGACCCGUGAUCAAGAAUGCUGAAGAUUACACAAAUUUUGGUGUUCCUUUUGUCUUUAGUAACUAUGUUAGAUUAUUUUUGCCUACUUGUUUCUGUUUGUUCUGGAACUUAACGUUUCAUAUGGUAGAAAGACGAAGUCCGAUGAUUUUCAAAGUUAUAUUUAGAUCCUUGUCUUUCCAAUUA